ACAAGAAGCUGACAUGAGCCCUUGUUUCCAGUAUGUGAGUCAUCAUUGCCACCAAUGGUCUGGGUCAUUGGCUGUGCACACACAUCCACAGACAGUACAACAACAGCCUCUAGUCCCUUGUUGCUGACCUUUGGGAAGCUGGGCAUGUAAGGCCAUACAUGAUCUACAGUGUACUUGUAGAGGUCAGAGGACAACUUGCAGGAGUCAUUUCUCUGCUUCCACAAUGUGGGUCCUGGGGAUCCAACUGAAGUCAUCAGAAGCAGUACUCGGGCUUCUAUUACACUUUAAUACGAUCUACAUAUAAGGUGAGUCACACAGUAUACCUUUUUGUCCAACAUAUUUACUUGUAAACUUUCAUUGCAAUGAGUCAUUGAACUUGUUCAUGGCCUCUAG